UACGGAGGAUGCAAGCGUUAUCCGGAAUGAUUGGGCGUAAAGCGUCCGCAGGUGGCUGUGUAAGUCUGCUGUUAAAGAGUGAGGCUCAACCUCAUAAAGGCAGUGGAAACUACAUGGCUAGAGUGCGUUCGGGGCAGAGGGAAUUCCUGGUGUAGCGGUGGAAUGCGUAGAGAUCAGGAAGAACACCGGUGGCGAAAGCGCUCUGCUAGGCCGCAACUGACACUGAGGGACGAAAGCUAGGGGAGCGAAUGGG
rnacentral:rRNA from 1 species